GCGUAAAUUUCGAAAGGAAAAAAGGUUUUGUGGAGCACCAGCUAUGUCCUUUGUUCCUAUUGCGUAUGUGAACAUGGAAGAGGAACAUAGCAGCUGACAAAGAAUAAUUGAUUGGUAGUAGAUGGUGGUAAUAUACAUUAAUUGUCCUUCAAAGAAUACAUUAUCAAUCUGAUCUUGUAGUCUAAAAGUGCCCCCUUCCCCUAAGGGAAAGUAUUGAAGUCAGAUUGUAAGCUAUAUAAAGUGUGCUGUGAGGCUUGGUCCUAUUUGUGCCUAAACAGAGAAGAAUGAAAUGUAUUUUGAAGUAAUAUUUUCUGGAAAGUAUUGCAUCACAAGAAGCUGUAAAUAAAUUUAAUCAUUGAAACACAGAUUCUACAUCUUUCCAUUAAAAAAUUAGGAUCUUUUCUGAGGGUAUGGUCAGAAUGCAGGACUAGUUUAACUGGCUUUAAAAGAUGUCAAGAUUUCAUGUAGGUUGGAAACUGAUUUCUGUCUAGUGAUAUCCUUUCUAUCUGCCAUUGAUCUAUCCAUGCAGAGCAAAAGGAAAGCUAACAAUCUGGGCAACUGGCUUCUGUGAAAAGCAGCUUGAAGUUCUUGAAUAGUUUCUUUUAGCAGUAGCUUAUUCCGAAAGGAUUCAGGAAAAACAAACAAACAAACAAAAAACAUCUAAAUUUCCAGUGUGUUUUAAUUCAAUUUAUGGAAUUUAAUGAAAUUGCAGGUUUUGGGUCCUGACAGACUCUACUCACACGUACAUGUUCUCAGUACAGUUGGAUACCUGCCAGUGAUUCAGGAAAGAGGCAAUUGCAUUUUGCAGGUGUGAGAUUUUGCACUUAUGAAAUACUUGGACCUUAGGUCAAAUUGGCUUUGAAAACAUAUAUCAAAUUUGUACUUGGAAACACGAUCUGAAUUAUUGUACCUGUUCACAGGCUAUCCGCAGACCAUAAACAUUCCCUAGCUGUUAUUUUUUUAAUUCAUUUUUGUUCUUUACACAUUAGGGAAAUUCCUUAGAAG
ensembl:lncRNA